rnacentral:rRNA from 1 species
AUUGAACGCUGGCGGCAGGCCUAACGCAUGCAAGUCGAGCGGGGUUUUCGGACCUAGCGGCGGACGGGUGAGUAAUGCGUAGGAAGCUACCCGAUAGAGGGGGAUACCAGUUGGAAACGACUGUUAAUACCGCAUAAUGUCUACGGACCAAAGUGUGGGACCUUCGGGCCACAUGCUAUCGGGUGCGCCUACGUGGGAUUAGCUAGUUGGUGGGGUAAUGGCUCACCAAGGCGACGAUCCCUAGCUGGUUUGAGAGGAUGAUCAGCCACACUGGAACUGAGACACGGUCCAGACUCCUACGGGAGGCAGCAGUGGGGAAUAUUGGACAAUGGGCGCAAGCCUGAUCCAGCCAUGCCGCGUGUGUGAAGAAGGCCUUCGGGUUGUAAAGCACUUUCAGUAGGGAGGAAGGAUGUUGUGUUAAUAGCACAGCAUUUUGACGUUACCUACAGAAGAAGCACCGGCUAACUCUGUGCCAGCCGCCGCCGUAACAC